ACCCUUUAAUGUUUGAUGUUCUAACGUGGACCCGUAAUCCGGGUUGCGGACAGUGUCUGGUGGGUAGUUUGACUGGGGCGGUCUCCUCCUAAAGAGUAACGGAGGAGCACGAAGGUUGGCUAAUCCUGGUCGGACAUCAGGAGGUUAGUGCAAUGGCAUAAGCCAGCUUGACUGCGAGCGUGACGGCGCGAGCAGGUGCGAAAGCAGGUCAUAGUGAUCCGGUGGUUCUGAAUGGAAGGGCCAUCGCUCAACGGAUAAAAGGUACUCCGGGGAUAACAGGCUGAUACCGCCCAAGAGUUCAUAUCGACGGCGGUGUUUGGCACCUCGAUGUCGGCUCAUCACAUCCUGGGGCUGAAGUAGGUCCCAAGGGUAUGGCUGUUCGCCAUUUAAAGUGGUACGCGAGCUGGGUUUAGAACGUCGUGAGACAGUUCGGUCCCUAUCUGCCGUGGGCGCUGGAGAACUGAGGGGGGCUGCUCCUAGUACGAGAGGACCGGAGUGGACGCAUCACUGGUGUUCGGGUUGUCAUGCCAAUGGCACUGCCCGGUAGCUAAAUGCGGAAGAGAUAAGUGCUGAAAGCAUCUAAGCACGAAACUUGCCCCGAGAUGAGUUCUCCCUGAGACUUAGAGUCUCCUGAAGGAACGUUGAA
rnacentral:rRNA from 1 species